rnacentral:rRNA from 1 species
GCAGUCGAGCGGACAGAAGGGAGCUUGCUCCCGGAUGUUAGCGGCGGACGGGUGAGUAACACGUGGGUAACCUGCCUGUAAGACUGGGAUAACUCCGGGAAACCGGAGCUAAUACCGGAUAGUUCCUUGAACCGCAUGGUUCAAGGAUGAAAGACGGUUUCGGCUGUCACUUACAGAUGGACCCGCGGCGCAUUAGCUAGUUGGUGAGGUAACGGCUCACCAAGGCGACGAUGCGUAGCCGACCUGAGAGGGUGAUCGGCCACACUGGGACUGAGACACGGCCCAGACUCCUACGGGAGGCAGCAGUAGGGAAUCUUCCGCAAUGGACGAAAGUCUGACGGAGCAACGCCGCGUGAGUGAUGAAGGUUUUCGGAUCGUAAAGCUCUGUUGUUAGGGAAGAACAAGUGCAAGAGUAACUGCUUGCACCUUGACGGUACCUAACCAGAAAGCCACGGCUAACUACGUGCCAGCAGCCGCGGUAAUACGUAGGUGGCAAGCGUUGUCCGGAAUUAUUGGGCGUAAAGGGCUCGCAGGCGGUUUCUUAAGUCUGAUGUGAAAGCCCCCGGCUCAACCGGGGAGGGUCAUUGGAAACUGGGAAACUUGAGUGCAGAAGAGGAGAGUGGAAUUCCACGUGUAGCGGUGAAAUGCGUAGAGAUGUGGAGGAACACCAGUGGCGAAGGCGACUCUCUGGUCUGUAACUGACGCUGAGGAGCGAAAGCGUGGGGAGCGAACAGGAUUAGAUACUCUGGUAGUCCACGCCGUAAACGAUGAGUGCUAAGUGUUAGGGGG